GGGAAACUUGCCUCGAGAUGAGUCUUCCCUGUCACCUUGAGUGACCUAAAGGAACGUUUAAGACUAAGACGUUGAUAGGCUGGGUGUGUAAGCGUAGCGAUACGUUGAGCUAACCAGUACUAAUGAACCGUGAGGCUUAACCUGACAACACCGAAGGUGUUU
rnacentral:rRNA from 1 species